GUGGGGAAUUUUGGACAAUGGGCGCAAGCCUGAUCCAGCAAUGCCGCGUGCAGGAAGAAGGCCUUCGGGUUGUAAACUGCUUUUGUACGGAACGAAACGGUCCGGGUUAAUACCCUGGGCUAAUGACGGUACCGUAAGAAUAAGCACCGGCUAACUACGUGCCAGCAGCCGCGGUAAUACGUAGGGUGCAAGCGUUAAUCGGAAUUACUGGGCGUAAAGCGCGCGCAGGCGGUUUUGUAAGACAGGCGUGAAAUCCCCGGGCUCAACCUGGGAAUUGCGCUUGUGACUGCAAGGCUGGAGUGCGGCAGAGGGGGAUGGAAUUCCGCGUGUAGCAGUGAAAUGCGUAGAUAUGCGGAGGAACACCGAUGGCGAAGGCAAUCCCCUGGGCCUGCACUGACGCUCAUGCACGAAAGCGUGGGGAGCAAACAGGAUUAGAAACCCGGGUAGUCC
rnacentral:rRNA from 1 species